UGGAGAGUUUGAUCCUGGCUCAGAACGAACGCUGGCGGCAGGCUUAACACAUGCAAGUCGAGCGCCCCGCAAGGGGAGCGGCAGACGGGUGAGUAACGCGUGGGAAUCUACCCUUUUCUACGGAAUAACGCAGGGAAACUUGUGCUAAUACCGUAUACGCCCUUCGGGGGAAAGAUUUAUCGGGAAAGGAUGAGCCCGCGUUGGAUUAGCUAGUUGGUGGGGUAAAGGCCUACCAAGGCGACGAUCCAUAGCUGGUCUGAGAGGAUGAUCAGCCACAUUGGGACUGAGACACGGCCCAAACUCCUACGGGAGGCAGCAGUGGGGAAUAUUGGACAAUGGGCGCAAGCCUGAUCCAGCCAUGCCGCGUGAGUGAUGAAGGCCCUAGGGUUGUAAAGCUCUUUCACCGGUGAAGAUAAUGACGGUAACCGGAGAAGAAGCCCCGGCUAACUUCGUGCCAGCAGCCGCGGUA
rnacentral:rRNA from 1 species